AGUUAGUGCAUGAAUUGGGUGAUCAGCUGGAAUCUGUUCAAAGAAGGAAGCAGAAGAAGAAAUUGUCCAUGCUGUGGAUUUUCUCGAGUAGGUGACAAUGUCAACUACCCUUCACCAGGGCUUCCUCAAUGAGGAAAGGACCAGCAGGUUCAUCAUCAUUUGUGGGGCUAUGGAAGUGGUCUUAACAUUGAAAUUUUUGGAUGUAACCGCAAGGUAUCUUCAUCGAUCCUAAACUCAUCACCUUCUCGAAAAGGAACAGCAGAUUCGUCACCACAUUCGAAAAAGGGAGUCAUUAUGCAUCACCGAGCAGGUAUCACCAAGCCUCAGACACAAUUAUUCAAACAGCAUCGAAAAGGGACAAAAACGUCCCUUGCAUCAUCUCCAUACCCCGCUGCAAUGCAUCAAAAAGAGAAGGGAGAGUCGUUACAACAAAGAUUUCAUGAAGACAAGGCUGGAUCGAACGAGAACCAGGGGCAAGUCCACUUACACUUGGU